CCACGACUUAGAAGCAGAAAUUGAUCCAGAACGGCCAACACAACCAACCGUCCGUUCAUAUAGUCCAGGUCUUUCCCAGGAUGGCAUAACUUCAGAGAUUUUUCAGUGAAAAUAGUGUGUACACAAUCAUACUAGGAAGGCCGGAGCUGGACUGGGAUGGGCUGGGCUGGACUGGUUGAUGCAUCGCACGCUGUCACUCUUUGGACCUGCACUCAGGGCGAGGAGAGGACAGGAGAAGAAAGGAAAAGAAGGGAGUGGACCUGAGAAGAGGUGGAGGAUGAAAAGAAGGGAGGAAGGGAGAAUAGAGCAGAAAAGAGAAGAAGAACAGAAAGGAGUGGAGAGGAGAAAAGAAGAGAGGAGAGGAAGGGAGAGGCGUGGACAUGGGAGGAGGUGAAGGUAGAAAUGAAGAAAGGAAGGGACAGGAGAUCUUAGAAGACAAGAGGAGAGGAAAGGAGUGGAGAAACGAGAAGGAGAGAGGAGAGAAGGGGUGCUCGAACUCAAGAACCUCAGUGACCCGGGCCCCUUUCCAGCCCACUCUCUCAAUUUUCAUGUCUGGACCCGAACCGAGACCUCACAGCACAUCUAUCUUCUGACGGAAUGACCCCACCUCUCCCACCUCUCUCCCUCUCCCUCUCUCUUUCUCUCUCCGGCCCGGUUUACUACAGGACCUUUAUCACUGGCUGGGCAGGCAGGCAGCUGGUGGUUGCCAGAGGCUACCCAACGAGGGAGAUUUAGCCCGGGGUUUUAGCCCUUUUUUUUGUUUCCUUGUAAGGAGAUACCUUCUCAUUUCAGCUGUACUCUUGUUUUUGGAGACCUGUAAGUAUGUAUGUGUGCUCCCUCUCUCUCUCUCCCUCUCCACACAAACCCCCCUCCCCACCCUUCCUGGCAUUUUAAUUUCAAUUAUGAGUAGCGACAGAUAAUAAAGGCUUUUUAAUAUA